rnacentral:rRNA from 1 species
UACGAAGGGGGCUAGCGUUGUUCGGAAUUACUGGGCGUAAAGCGCACGCAGGCGGAUUGAUUAGUCGGGGGUGAAAUCCCGGGGCUCAACCUCGGAAUUGCCUUCGAUACUGUCAGUCUUGAGUCCGGGAGAGGUGAGUGGAAUUCCUAGUGUAGAGGUGAAAUUCGUAGAUAUUGGGAAGAACACCGAUGGCGAAGGCAGCCAUCUGGACCGACACUGACGCUGAGGCGCGAAAGCGUGGGGAGCAAACAGG